AACACUGUUAACCUGCGGUACCUGCGGAAGGAUCAUAACUGGUUAAACUUUAUAAACACCAGAGUUUCAAACUCUGUGUUUGCAAACAAAAAACACCCUUCAAAACAGCUAUUCAGUGUCUGAAUUAACUAGUUUAAUAUAAAAACAACUUUCAACAACGGAUCU
rnacentral:misc_RNA from 1 species